ensembl:snRNA U6 U6 spliceosomal RNA
AUGCUCACUUCGGCAGCACAUAUACUAAAGUUGGAAUGAUACAGGGAAGAUUAGGAUGGCCCCUGCACAAGUAUGGCACGCAAAUUCAUGAAGUGUUCUAUAUUUUA